GACGAACGCUGGCGGCGUGCUUAACACAUGCAAGUCGAACGGAAAGGCCCCUUUGGGGGUACUCGAGUGGCGAAGGGGUGAGUAACACGUGAGUAACCUGCCCUUGACUUCGGGAUAACUUCAGGAAACUGGGGCUAAUACCGGAUAGGAAUCCUUGCUGCAUGGUGGGGGUUGGAAAGCUUCGGCGGUUUUGGAUGGACUCGCGGCUUAUCAGCUUGUUGGUGGGGUAGUGGCUUACCAAGGCUUUGACGGGUAGCCGGCCUGAGAGGGCGACCGGCCACAUUGGGACUGAGAUACGGCCCAGACUCCUACGGGAGGCAGCAGUGGGGAAUAUUGCACAAUGGGCGGAAGCCUGAUGCAGCAACGCCGCGUGCGGGAUGACGGCCUUCGGGUUGUAAACCGCUUUCAGCAGGGGCGAAGCUUGUGGUGACGGUACCUGCAGAAGAAGCACCGGCUAACUACGUG
rnacentral:rRNA from 1 species